GGGCCCGCACAAGCGGUGGAGCAUGUGGUUUAAUUCGAUGAUACGCGAGGAACCUUACCAGGGCUUAAAUGUAGUAUGACCGGCUUGGAAACAGGCCUUCUCUUCGGAGCAGAUUACAAGGUGCUGCAUGGUUGUCGUCAGCUCGUGCCGUGAGGUGUUAGGUUAAGUCCUGCAACGAGCGCAACCCCUAUUCUUAGUUGCCAGCGGUUCGGCCGGGGACUCUAAGAAGACUGCCAGCGCAAGCUGAGAGGAAGGUGGGGAUGACGUCAAAUCAUCACGGCCCUUACGUCCUGGGCUACACACGUGCUACAAUGGUAGAGACAGAGGGCAGCCACCUGGUGAAUCCGUUCCCGGGCCUUGUACACACCGCCCGUCACACCAUGGAAGCUGGUCACACCCAAAGUCGUUAUUCUAACCGU
rnacentral:rRNA from 1 species